rnacentral:rRNA from 1 species
AUAUUGGAUAAUGGGGGCAACCGUGAUCCAGCCAUGCCGCGUGUGUGAAGUUGGUCCACGGAUAGUAAAGCACUGUAAUCUGGGAGGAUGGGCUUUAGGUUAAUACCGUGAAGUUUUGACGUUACCAACUGAAUAAGCACCGGCUAACCCUGUGCCAGCAGCCGGGGUAAUACAGAGGGUGCAAGCGUUAAUCGGAAUUACUGGGCGUAAAGCGCGCGUAGGUGGUUCAGUAAGAUGGGUGUGAAAUCCCCGGGCUUAACCUGGGAACUGCUUUCAUAACUGAUGAGCUAGAGUACGGUAGAGGGUAGUGAAAUUUCCUGUGUAGCGGUGAAAUGCGUAGAUAUAGGAAGGAACACCAGUGGCGAAGGCGACUACCUGGACUGAUACUGACACUAAGGUGCGAAAGCGUGGGGAGCAAAC